AAACUUCUUUUUUUCUUUUCAUUAAUGCUCAUCAUACAAAUAGUUUUUGAAGUUCUUCCUUCUACAAUUCCCCUCUCAAUUAGCACUCUCUCUAUGUUACGUACAUACUUAGCACUAAGCAAUAUUAUAGUAAUUAUUUGAUCCCUUCAAUGUUUCCCCAUCAUCAAGAAAACUAAAAGAAGACCCAACCAAGUUAAUUAAUCUCUUCGUAAUAAGGAAUAAGAAUAUAGUAAAUACUAAACCCAAAACGACCCUCGUCGUUAACACCUACCUCGAGUUGCCGGAGCCACCUUUUCCAACACCCAUCUGAUGAUGAUACCCACCGGCGCCGUACACGUGCCCUUGAUGAUGUCCCAUCAUCAUCAUCCCUCCAUACAUACCUUGACCACCGCCAUUAAACCCUCCUCCUGCUCCACCAACACCGCCUGAACUCACCCCUCCACCAGACCCACCUCCACNNCCACUAGCAGCGGCACCACCUCCACCAGACCCACCAGCACCAUCCUUUUCUCCUUGCCUGCCCAUGGAGCUCUUCUCUCCUUCCAUCUCCCUAUACUUCUGCAAAUAAAUCUUCAAGGGCUCCAC
rnacentral:misc_RNA from 1 species